CACACAUUGUAUGCUGUUAAGAUAGCUAUACUAUAUUUGGAAGAUCCCAGAUUGUGUGGCUGCUGAUGGAAGUGAGUAGCAGCUCUGCUGAAAUGGUGAUCUCAGGACAGAGGUAAGAUGAUAAAAUAUAUAAGGAAG
rnacentral:lncRNA from 13 species